rnacentral:rRNA from 1 species
UACGGGGGGGGCAAGCGUUGUUCGGAAUUACUGGGCGUAAAGGGCGCGUAGGCGGCCUUCUAAGUCGGACGUGAAAUCCCUCGGCUUAACCGAGGAACUGCGUCCGAGACUGAAAGGCUUGAAUCCGGGAGAGGGAUGUGGAAUUCCAGGUGUAGCGGUGAAAUGCGUAGAUAUCGGGAGGAACACCGGUGGCGAAGGCGGGUCUCUGGGCAUCUCCUGACGCUGAGGCGCGAAAGCGUGGGGAGCAAACGGG